rnacentral:rRNA from 1 species
UAACCUGGGAGUGGCAUUUGAGACUGGCAGGCUAGAGUCUUGUAGAGGGGGGUAGAAUUCCAGGUGUAGCGGUGAAAUGCGUAGAGAUCUGGAGGAAUAUCGGUGGCGAAGGCGGCCCCCUGGACAAAGACUGACGCUCAGAUGCGAAAGCGUGGGUAGCAAACAGGAUUAGAUACCCUGGUAGUCCACGCCGUAAACGAUGUCUACUUGAAGGUUGGGAUCUUGAAUUCUGGCCUUCGGAGCUAACGCGUUAAGUAGACCGCCUGGGGAGUACGGUCGCAAGAUUAAAACUCAAAUGAAUUGACGGGGGCCCGCACAAGCGGUGGAGCAUGUGGUUUAAUUCGAUGCAACGCGAAGAACCUUACCUACUCUUGACAUCCAGAGAGGCCAGCAGAGAUGCAGGUGUGCCUUCGGGAGCUNUGAGACAGGUGCUGCAUGGCUGUCGUCAGCUCGUGUUGUGAAAUGUUGGGUUAAGUCCCGCAACGAGCGCAACCCUUAUCCUUGUUUGCCAGCACGUAAUGGUGGGAACUCCAGGGAGACUGCCGGUGAUAAACCGGAGGAAGGUGGGGACGACGUCAAGUCAUCAUGGCCCUUACGAGUAGGGCUACACACGUGCUACAAUGGUGCAUACAGAGGGAAGCAAGAGCGCGAGCUGGAGCGGAUCCCAAAAAGUGCAUCGUAGUCCGGAUUGGAGUCUGCAACUCGACUCCAUGAAGUCGGAAUCGCUAGUAAUCGUGGAUCAGAAUGCCACGGUGAAUACGUUCCCGGGCCUUGUACACACCGCCCGUCAUC